GAUCCUGGCUCAGGAUGAACGCUGGCGGCGCGCCUAACACAUGCAAGUCGAACGAUUAAAGCACCUUCGGGUGUGUAUAAAGUGGCGAACGGCUGAGUAACACGUGGGCAACCUGCCCCUCUCAUUGGGAUAGCCACGGGAAACCGUGGAUAAUACCGAAUACUUCGGGACUUCCGCAUGGAAGACUCGAGAAAGCUCCGGCGGAGAGGGAUGGGGCCCCGCGGGCCUGUUAGCUUGUUGGUGGGGUAACGGCCUACCAAGG
rnacentral:rRNA from 1 species